rnacentral:rRNA from 1 species
UACAGAGGGUGCGAGCGUUAAUCGGAAUUACUGGGCGUAAAGGGUGCGUAGGCGGUUCUAUAAGUCAGUGGUGAAAUCCCCGGGCUUAACCUGGGAACUGCGCUUGUAACUGGCAAGCUAGAGUGUGGCAGAGGGGGGUGGAAUUCCACGUGUAGCAGUGAAAUGCGUAGAGAUGUGGAGGAACACCGAUGGCGAAGGCAGCCCCCUGGGUCAACACUGACGCUCAUGCACGAAAGCGUGGGGAGCAAACAGG